CAAUAGCGUAUACUAACGUUGUUGCAGUUAAAAAGCUCGUAGUUGGAUUUCUGUUACGAUGAGCCGGCCGGCCCUUCGGGGUUGUAGCUAGGUUUCGUGGUAGCAUCUUGGCGCAAUCGCCGCUGGCAUUCGUUUGUUGGCGUGCGGGACCGCCUCGUUUACUUGAGAAAAUUAGAGUGUUUAAAGCAGGCUUUUGCUGUGAAUACAUUAGCAUGGAAUAAUAAUCUAGGACUUCGGUUCUAUUUUGUUGGUUUCUAGUACUGAAGUAAUGAUUGAUAGGGAUAGUUGGGGGUGCUAGUAUUGGCCGGCCAGAGGUGAAAUUCUUGGAUUCGGUCAAGACUAACUUAUGCGAAAGCAUUCACCAAGGAUGUCUUCUUUAAUCAAGAACGAAAGUUGGGGGAUCGAAGACGAUUAGAUACCA
rnacentral:rRNA from 1 species